rnacentral:misc_RNA from 1 species
AAGUCGUAACAAGGUUUCCGUAGGUGAACCUGCGGAAGGAUCAUUAUUGAGUAACUUUGGGGGAGUGGGGAUUCCUUUUCCCUCCCCCUAUCCACUCUCAUCUCUCCUGUUAUUUUCUUGUCCCAGUUGCUUUGGCAAAUUAAGUUAUUAUUUUUUUCUUAAAAGUAAUUUAAAUUGUCAAGGGCUAUAUACAUAGACACUUUUGUUUUUUAACAAUUGGAUUUUAUCUAAGUCAGAUUUAUUUAUUUUUUAAUAAAAAAAUAAAACUUUCAACAACGGAUCUCUUGGUUCUG